rnacentral:rRNA from 1 species
GACGAACGCUGGCGGCGUGCUUAACACAUGCAAGUCGAACGAUGAAGUUCCUUCGGGAAUGGAUUAGUGGCGAACGGGUGAGGAACACGUGAGAAACCUGCCUUUCAUUUUGGGAUAACUCCGGGAAACCGGGGCUAAAACCGAAUACUCCGUCUCGGCGGCAUCGCUGAGCCGGGAAAAAAUUUUGAUGAAAGAUGGUCUCGCGGCCUAUCAGCUAGUUGGUGAGGUAAUGGCUCACCAAGGCAACGACGGGUAGCCGGCCUGAGAGGGCGACCGGCCACACUGGGACUGAGACACGGACCAGACUCCUACGGGAGGCAGCAGUGGGGAAUAUUGGGCAAUGGGCGCAAGCCUGACCCAGCGACGCCGCGUGAGGGAUGAAGGCCUUCGGGUUGUAAACCUCUUUCAGUAGGGAAGAAGCGAAUGUGACGGUACCUAAAGAAGAAGCACCGGCUAACUAUGUGCCAGCAGCCGCAGUAA